rnacentral:sRNA from 1 species
GCUUCGACCAAGGUUCGACUCGAGCGCCAGCGAGAGAGCGUUGCCUCAGGCAACGACCCGAAGGGCGAAGCGCGCAGCGCUGAGUAAUCCUUCCCCCACCACCA